rnacentral:rRNA from 1 species
GAUGAACGCUGGCGGCGUGUCUAAUACAUGCAAGUCGGGCGAACGGACGAGAAGCUUGCUUCUCUGAUGUUAGCGGCGGACGGGUGAGUAACACGUGGAUAACCUACCUAUAAGACUGGGAUAACUUCGGGAAACCGGAGCUAAUACCGGAUGAUAUUUUGAACCGCAUGGUUCAAAAGUGAAAGACGGUCUUGCUGUCACUUAUAGAUGGAUCCGCGCUGCAUUAGCUAGUUGGUAAGGUAACGGCUUACCAAGGCAACGAUGCAUAGCCGACCUGAGAGGGUGAUCGGCCACACUGGAACUGAGACACGGUCCAGACUCCUACGGGAGGCAGCAGUAGGGAAUCUUCCGCAAUGGGCGAAAGCCUGACGGAGCAACGCCGCGUGAGUGAUGAAGGUCUUCGGAUCGUAAAACUCUGUUAUUAGGGAAGAACAUAUGUGUAAGUAACUGUGCACAUCUUGACGGUACCUAAUCAGAAAGCCACGGCUAACUACGUG